rnacentral:RNase_P_RNA from 1 species
CCUGCAGGUCGCCUUAUCGCUCCACUUUGCUGGAGAGGAAAGUCCGGACACCACAGGGAAGCAUAGCGGCUAACAGCCGUCGUCCCGAGUACUCGGGAUAGGACAAGUGCAACAGAAAGAAUGUACAGGUUAUGCUGUAGUGAAAUCAUGUAAACUCUAUGCGGUGAAAUGCCACGUAAACCUACGCUUGAGGGUACCCGCCCAAUGUAGGAGGGUAGGCAGAUAGAUCUUUCCAGUAAUGGUUAGACUAGAUAAAUGAUAAGGGUUGCGCCCUUGGCGUAAUACAGAAUCCGGCUUAUAGACCUGCUUUUUUA